UACGAAGGGGACUAGCGUUGUUCGGAAUUACUGGGCGUAAAGCGCACGUAGGCGGAUAUUUAAGUCAGGGGUGAAAUCCCGGGGCUCAACCCCGGAACUGCCUUUGAUACUGGGUAUCUGGAGGUCGAGAGAGGCGAGUGGAAUUCCGAGUGUAGAGGUGAAAUUCGUAGAUAUUCGGAGGAACACCAGUGGCGAAGGCGGCUCGCUGGCUCGAUACUGACGCUGAGGUGCGAAAGCGUGGGGAGCAAACAGG
rnacentral:rRNA from 1 species